rnacentral:lncRNA from 1 species
CUGGCUGCCUCAGAUCUUCCUCUUCUCAUCUAUGCAGCAGAAGAAAUUAUGUUGCGUGAAUAUCAGCAUGAAAUGGGUAAAUGCCUCUAAAGCCUCUGACAAUGUUUUCCAACCAAAAGGUUUUAACUUGAAACUUUCUCAUAAAAAAGGCUUCUACUGGUUGUCGCUUUCAGGUACCUUGAAGAAAUCAUUCUUUCCAACAUCACAUAAAAGAUGAAAUUCAUGUUCCAAUUUGACAGUGAUGGAAGAGAAUGGUCAAUUAUUUUUAUGUAUUUAACUUUAGAGUUAUUACUUUAUUAUAAAAUCACCUAAAUAAAAAUUCUUUAUUCUUUCA